UUGGAUGUAGCUCAAUGGCAAAGCACUUGUCUAGCAAGCACAACAUCCUGGCUUCAAUCCCUAGCACCCAAA
rnacentral:tRNA from 1 species